CACUAUGCCCCUCCCUUAUCCAUCGUGCUGCACAGUCCUUUGGUCGGUUGUAAGGGUUGGUGAUGAGCUGGCCUGAGCUCCUCCAGCUCUGGCAGUGGCGCCAGCGAUGCCUGUUGCGACCGCCAGAGAAGCAACGCUGCGAAGCCGCGCCGCCCGGCAUAGCCCUUUCAUCAUGAGAGCUCCGCGUGGUCGUCCCCCACCCCUGUGCAUGGCUUCUCCGACAAGAUCCACCUGCACCCGAAAGCGCCGCCCCUCGGAGUUGGAGCUGUCAUCAACGUGGUGCUCACCGACGACUGCAUCCACCUCCAUCAGGUGCAGAAUCAACCAGCGAGUGCGCCUUUGUCCUUUCCCCCUCUAGUUUGCCGCAAGACACCGCUGGCGAUCUUGGAGUCCGUCGUUGUAUCAUUUCACCGCUUCUACCAUCAUGAAUAAAUAGUCAAGCCUCAUUUUGAUGUUUGGCAUGUAGUAGUACUUAAGAUGUGUCACUUCACUCGGAUGUGACAUGCCUACCUAUUUAUGUGAGCACUAGAGCAACCCCAUGACCAUAGUAUGGGUGUGUUGUGAUAAACAAUUGAGCGGCCUUCGCUCUACCCUGUUUAAUAUUAAGUACUACUGAGUUGGUCUAUCA